rnacentral:rRNA from 1 species
UUGGGGCUCUCGGAUCCCAGUACGGCGAGUGAAGCGGGAAGAGCUCAAGCUUAAAAUCUCCAUACUUGUAUGGCGAAUUGUAGUCUAUUGAGGCUGUUGUCAGCAUCGCGAUUGGGGACAAGUCCCUUGGAAAAGGGCAGCAUAGAGGGUGAUACUCCCGUCUCUGCUCCAAUCUGCGGUGUGUACGAUACGCUUUCUUUGAGUCGAGUUGUUUGGGAAUACAGCUCAAAGUAGGUGGUAAAUUCCAUCUAAAGCUAAAUAUUGGUGCGAGACCGAUAGCGAACAAGUACCGUGAGGGAAAGAUGAAAAGAACUUUGAAAAGAGAGUUAAAGAGUACCUGAAACUGUUGAAAGGGAACCGUAUCGUUUCCAGUGUUGUAUCCUAUGCAUAUUUCAUUCGCGGAGUAAUUUGCGGGUGCCCUGUGCAUGGGUGUGACGUCAGGGUCAGUUUGUAUGCUGCGGGAGAUGGUCAGUGAGGAGGUGCGUCACUUCGGUGAAAGUUAUAUCUCGCUGUCUAGUAGCCGUGGUUGAGACUGAGGUGCCUACAACAUGCCUUAAGGUUCCGUGUUGUCUCGUGUUGGUGACUGCUUUGAUAGCUUGCUAUGUCUGUGGUUUAUCAGUGCGAUUGAUGAUGCGGAUAACUUUUGCUGUUCGGGACUCUGGCGAAAUGGAGCGAUACGACCCGUC